rnacentral:rRNA from 1 species
GUGGGGAAUAUUGCACAAUGGAGGCAACUCUGAUGCAGCGACGCCGCGUGAGCGAAGAAGUAUUUCGGUAUGUAAAGCUCUAUCAGUAGGGAAGAUAAUGACGGUACCUACAGAAGAAGCCCCGGCUAAAUACGUGCCAGCAGCCGCGGUAAUACGUAUGGGGCAAGCGUUAUCCGGAUUUACUGGGUGUAAAGGGAGUGUAGGCGGCAGUACAAGUCAGGAGUGAAAACUUGGGGCUCAACCCCAAGACUGCUUUUGAAACUGUACAGCUAGAGUGUAGGAAGGGCAAGCGGAAUUCCUGGUGUAGCGGUGAAAUGCGUAGAUAUCAGGAAGAACACCGGUGGCGAAGGCGGCUUGCUGGACUAUAACUGACGCUGAGACUCGAAAGCGUGGGGAGCGAACAGGAUUAGAAACCCUAGUAGUCC